UCUGAGGGUAAAGGACGCUGGCAUUUAAGACUUGCCCAGUUAGAACGUGAGCCCUCCCUUCCUCUCUGCCCUGCUCGCCCACAGUGCAAGGACUUCGUUCUUGGACACAGAUACCGGUCCACUUGGUAUCUCCGGCACCAAGUGGACAGGUGUCUGGUAAUUGUAGAAGCCGCAGGAUCCAGUGCAAAGCCGCCUCCUUCAGGAAGCUUUCCCUGACUGCCCCACGUGGCAGGUUAGCAUGUUCACUCUAGUGAACACUGGUGGCGUUUAACGACCCUGCGUCUUCCUUCCAUGUGUUAAGGACCACAGGGCACACAGACCUCAGAAUCACAGAGACAUGGGUUCCAAUUCCCUCUAUACUGUUUUCUCGCUGAAGGAUUUGGGACAAGUCUCUUCAUCUUAGCUCUGCUCGGUGUCACAUGGGGUUAAUGCUGCUGGACCGUACACUACGCUGAUGAUGGAGAGCCCCCAGAGCCCUCGUAUGGGACCUGUCUCAUGUGGCCCGGAGUCUAACACAGGUCGUGUUCCCACCCAGUUGCAUCUCUGCCAGGCUGAGGAAGACGCUCGGGCCGUCCGCAGUGCGGACACAGGCUGUCACCACUCUUGACCUGUGGCCCAGCAUGGGCUUAUCUCCCAACCAGCGAGAGAGCCUACGUGGGGGCAGUGGGGAAAUCACAUGUGGAGCCAGAGUUGUCCAGAAAGGACCUGAAGAGCAUCCUCUGGUGGAGAGGUGAGUGAUUACAACAGGUGACAGAGGGGACACAGUUGCCAGCGCCUGUCUUCUCCCGUUCCUCUGGUCAGACAGAUGUUAAGCACGGAGACCAGAAAAUGGGAGUUCUAGAACGGUGAGAAUGGGCUCCCCACCUGCUCGUUCAUGACUUCCUGCGUGCAACGUGUGGAGCUCAGCCGCGGCCCCGGGCUCGCAGCCCACUGCGGUGGCCUGGCCUGGACUGGGGGGCGUCUUGGAGAAAGAAGUCCCAAGACUGGAGAGAACAGGAGGUUCCCAGGGGAUCAGGACGCUCGAUCCUCACUGCUCCAGGCGGACCCGCAUCAACGUCUUGGUCAGAGAAGAAGGUGGGAGCUGGCUGGGGUGGGCCACGGUGGACCCCUCGGGCAUGUGCGGACCCAGCUGGCAGGUGGUCAGAACUGCCCAGAACUGUGCUGCUGACCUGCCAGGCACAACUCGCCUUUCCCGAAGGCACAGGUGAUUUGAAUGUGCAUUCGAGACUGAGAGCACUUCUCACUGCCCGAGCGACAGUUAGUAACUGUGUGGUCAUGGGGAUUUGCGGGACUGAUCGCGGCGACCACUUCACGACCGGCACAGACACCGAGUCUGUCUGUCACACGUCUGCAGCCUACCUACAGUUACCUGUCAAUUACAUGUCAAACGGAGGGGAGAGGAGGACGGGCCGCGUCGCUGCGCUGGGCUGUGCGCAGUCUCUUUGCCCAGGGUGAGACCCGCACGGAUGUCCUCGAGAGCCAGGAGCUCCUCAAGGCCCUCCCUCCAGGGAGGUUAGUGCGGGCGGGGUGUGGGGAGUCCUGCAGUUUCUUCCACUCGCUUCACACACUGUGGUGGGCUCCCAAGGAAGCCUCCCUUUGAGGACCCAGCACCAGACAGAAGAGACCCUCGUGCUUCGUGAUGGAACGUCUCUGCUAUGGAACGUCACACAGCCUUGCAGAGCAAGCUGUGGGGCUGGCCCGGGGACACACAGCUGCUGGACACACAUUGUCUGACGGAAGAAGCAAGUCUCAGGGGCACCUGGCCGGCUCAGUCGGGAGAGCAUGCAGCUUUUGAUCUUGGGGUCAUGAGUUCGAGUCCCACACUGGACGUGGAGCUGACUUCCAGGGAACAAAGCCCAUCUCAGAGCAGUGUACGCCAGAGUAGGCCACUUGUACAAAUCAGCACAUCUGAGUAGGGAAACCAUCAUCUCAGCAAGCUUAGCGGUUCAGAACAGCAGGCAUGUAGUAUUAACUUGUGGGGUCGGGGAGAGAUGGGGUGGCCGGGUGGUUUUCCCUCUGGCUGGCUGCAUCCUGACGGGGCCAGGGGUAAAGGCCUCCUCAUGUGUCUGGCGCUCGGGCUGGGAACACUCGGACAGGUGCAGUCCAGACAAAGCUAUGAUCCUGUCUCUCCUUAGUCCCAUCUUUGUGCUCUUCCUGGCCCAGGGAUUUCCAGGUAGCCAGAAUCCUUUUUUUUUUUUUUUAAAGGUUUUAUUUAUUUAUUU